rnacentral:rRNA from 1 species
GACGAACGCUGGCGGCGUGCCUAAUACAUGCAAGUCGAACGCAGUGGGGACGGGUGAGUAACACGUGGGUAACCUCCCAUCAGAGGGGAUAACACUUGGAAACAGGUGCUAAACCGAUACUGAUGGAUGGACCCGCGGUGCAUUAGCUAGUUGGUGAGGUAACGGCUCACCAAGGCCACGAUGCAUAGCGUACAUUGGAGGGUGAUCGGCCGCAUGGGGACGGAGACACGGACCAGACGACUACGGAAGGCAGCAGUAGGGAAUCUUAGGCAAUGGACCAAAGUCUGACCGAGCAACGCCGCGUGAGUGAAGAAGGUUUUCGGAUCGUAAAACUCUGGUGUUAGAGAAGCGGUAUCUAACCAGAAAGCCACGGCUAACUACGUGCCAGGCGCCGCGGUAAUUC